rnacentral:rRNA from 1 species
GACGUAGGGGGCCAGCGUUGUUCGGAAUUACUGGGCGUAAAGGGUUCGUAGGCGGUGCGGCAAGUCGGGAGUGAAAUCUCUGGGCUUAACCCAGAGGCUGCUUCCGAAACUGCUGUGCUUGAGUGUGGGAGAGGCGCGUGGAAUUGCAGGUGUAGCGGUGAAAUGCGUAGAUAUCUGCAGGAACACCCGUGGCGAAAGCGGCGCGCUGGACCACUACUGACGCUGAGGAACGAAAGCUAGGGGAGCAAACAGG